UACGUAGGGGCUAGCGUUAUCCGGAUUUAUUGGGUUUAAAGGGUGCGUAGGCGGCUUUUUAAGUCAGCGGUGAAAUUUUGCAGCUUAACUGUAACAGUGCCGUUGAUACUGGGGAGCUAGGAUUUGGUUGCUGUGGGUGGAAUGUGUGGUGUAGCGGUGAAAUGCUUAGAGAUCACACAGAAUAUCGAUUGCGAAGGCAGCUCACAAAGCCAAGAUUGACGCUGAGGCACGAAAGUGUGGGGAUCAAACAGGAUUAGAUA
rnacentral:rRNA from 1 species